GGCCGGAGGUGGGUCGUCGUUGAGCUGAGCUCUGCUAAAAUAAGUUGUUUAACGGGAUCUGAGCCUGACCGCCGCCACUGCACACACAGUUCAUUGAUGUCCCUCUGCUUGUACCACAGGUCACCUCCUGCAGGAAGUUGGACGCUAGACGGCAGGGCUCUGUGCAGGGGCGCUUUCAAAGGUCACCUCCUGCAGGAAGUUGGAUGCCAGACGUGAGGGCUCUGUGCAGUGGGAUUCUCAAAGGUACGUCUGGGGGCAUGGAAUCAGCUAAAUGGACACACACCUGAGAUGGAAUCCUCACACUGAGUCUCCCUCUAUCCGGCAACCAGAAUAUCCUUCCAGACCUGCCUAACUGAAGACAUCCCUGUCUCACCUUUGUGGCAGCCUUCCACACUCACACCCAAACAUCAGCUCAUAAUAUACAGUACUUCCUAAAUGAUAUUAAAUCUUUGA